AGAAGGCGUCCCUCCUACCACUCUCCGCGAGAUUUCCCUCUUGCGGAUGCUCUCUAGGGAUCCUCAUAUCGUCAGAUUGCUGGGUACACCAAAUGAACAAGUCUGGCCAGGAGUGAGCAAGCUGGUGAAUUGGCAUGAGUAUCCACAAUGAAAAUGGCCUUAACUUGCUAGCUGAAAUGUUGCAUUAUGAACCAUCAAGAAGGAUUUCAGCAAAGAAAGCCAUGGAACAUUCUUAUUUUGACGAUUUAGACAAAUCGUAUCUUUAAACAGCAAUCCGGCUGGGUUGUUUUAUGAUUGUAGUGAGCAAGUUUAUCUUGACUUUAGGAUAACAGAGUUCAAGAACCCUCAAAUUGCUUGCCUUAAGCAUAUUACAUUUUUCUUUAAUUUCUUGAAUGAAUAUUGUACUGCUAUUGGGUUUGGUAGGUGCACUGAAAAUGUAAGGCUGCCAUUUAAGGGCAUAUUAAGUAGUGAUUAUUCCUUCUACAGAGGGUUGGGCUUCCCCUAGUAAAUAGUCUACAUUUUGGACCAAGCUCAUAUUAUAUAUGCUGAUUUUGAGAUGUGGUGCAAUUGCUUUUCUUUUUUUGCUGGUUAACUUUUUGAAUUUUAAUGUUUAAGGAUGUCAAAUAGAAUGUAAAUGGAGAUGUUAAUAUUGGACACUCCGAGGACUCGACUCUGAAGAAUCUUUUGACUCCUUUUGAGGUUAACAAGAUGAAUUUUCCUCAUCUUUAUUUAUGUUGAAGGCUUUUUUCCACAGAAGACAUGUGAGAAAAGUCUGGAGCAGCUUUUGCAUCUGAAUGCAUCUUUACCUGUAACAAGUGCCAGGAUGGUAAGCAUGUGAAAAACAAUGCCAAGGGGAAGUCUGUUAUUGAGGACAGUGUGUCCAAGAACGAAGAAAAGGGGUAAAGUUACAGUUGUUGUACCUCUUCGACGUUCUGCUAGGAGAGCUAAAAUUGUGCAGGUGCAAGAGAAAAAUGCUAACAAGAAAGU